rnacentral:rRNA from 1 species
UAGGGAAUCUUCCGCAAUGGGCGAAAGCCUGCCGGAGCAACGCCGCGUGAGUGAUGAAGGUCUUCGGAUCGUAAAACUCUGUUAUUAGGGAAGAACAAAUGUGUAAGUAACUAUGCACGUCUUGACGGUACCUAAUCAGAAAGCCACGGCUAACUACGUGCCAGCAGCCGCGGUAAUACGUAGGUGGCAAGCGUUAUCCGGAAUUAUUGGGCGUAAAGCGCGCGUAGGCGGUUUUUUAAGUCUGAUGUGAAAGCCCACGGCUCAACCGUGGAGGGUCAUUGGAAACUGGAAGACUUGAGUGCAGAAGAGGAAAGUGGAAUUCCAUGUGUAGCGGUGAGAUGCGCAGAGAUAUGGAGGAACACCAGUGGCGAAGGCGACUUUCUGGUCUGUAACUGACGCUGAUGUGCGAAAGCGUGGGGAUCAAACAGG